rnacentral:rRNA from 1 species
GACGAACGCUGGCGGCGUGCUUAACACAUGCAAGUCGAACGGUAAGGCCCUUCGGGGUACACGAGUGGCGAACGGGUGAGUAACACGUGGGUGAUCUGCCCUGCACUUCGGGAUAAGCCUGGGAAACUGGGUCUAAUACCGGAUAGGACCACUGCCUGCAUGGGUGGUGGUGGAAAGCUUUUGCGGUGUGGGAUGGGCCCGCGGCCUAUCAGCUUGUUGGUGGGGUGAUGGCCUACCAAGGCGACGACGGGUAGCCGGCCUGAGAGGGUGACCGGCCACACUGGGACUGCGAUACGGCCCAGACUCCUACGGGAGGCAGCAGUGGGGAAGAUUGCACAAUGCGCGCAAGCCUGAUGCAGCGACGCCGCGUGAGGGAUGACGGCCUUCGGGUUGUAAACCUCUUUCAGCACCGACGAAGCGCAAGUGACGGUAGGUGCAGAAGAAGGACCGGCCAACUACGUGCCAGCCGCCGCAGUAA